UACGUAGGGGGCAAGCGUUGUCCGGAAUUAUUGGGCGUAAAGAGCGUGUAGGCGGUCCGGUAAGUCAGCUGUGAAAGUCAAGGGCUCAACCCUUGAAAGCCGGUUGAUACUGCCGGACUAGAGUUCGGAAGAGGCGAGUGGAAUUCCCGGUGUAGCGGUGAAAUGCGCAGAUAUCGGGAGGAACACCUAUGGCGAAGGCAGCUCGCUGGGACGUUACUGACGCUGAGACGCGAAAGCGUGGGGAGCAAACAGG
rnacentral:rRNA from 1 species